UGCAUCCGUAGCUUAGCUGGAUAGAGUACUCGGCUACGAACCGAGCGGUCGGAGGUUCGAAUCCUCCCGGAUGCACCAU
rnacentral:tRNA from 1 species